UCCGAGUUGACCCCGGCAGUCUCCUAUGAGUCCCCACCAUAACGUGCUGGCAACAUAGGACGAGGGUUGCGCUCGUUGCGGGACUUAACCCAACAUCUCACGACACGAGCUGACGACAGCCAUGCACCACCUGUAUAGGACCCUUACGGACCCCACAUCUCUGCGGGAUUUCCCUAUAUGUCAAACCCAGGUAAGGUGGGGAUGACGUAGCUAAGCCUUC
rnacentral:misc_RNA from 1 species